rnacentral:rRNA from 1 species
CAACAGUGUAUGCUAAAAGUUGUUGCGGUUGAAAAGCUCGUAGUUGGAUUUUGGGCGGGCGCAGCCGGUCCGUCGCAGGGCGUGUCACUGGUUGCGCUCGCCUCGCCUUCGGUUCUCCGUCGGUGCUCUUGACUGAGUGUCGGCGGUGGCCGAGAAGUUUACUUUGAAAAAUUAGAGUGUUCAAAGCAGGCUGCUCGCCUGUAUAGUGUUGCAUGGAAUAAUGGAAUAGGACCUCGGUUCUAUUUUGUUGGUUUUCGGAGCGCGAGGUAAUGAUUAAGAGGGACAGACGGGGCGUCCGUACUCUGCCGUUACGAUGGUGAAAGUUCAUUGGAUUUGAUCGAAAGACGAACAACUGCGAAAGCACUUGCCAAGAGUGUUUUCAUUAAUCAAGAACGAAAGUUAGAGGAUCGAAGACGAUUAGAUACCA